rnacentral:lncRNA from 1 species
UAGUGAAUGAAAUGAGUGAUAAGAAUGAUAGUGAUAAUGAGGGGUGAUAACUGAUGGUGAAGAUCUAAUUCUACAAUUGCUCCUGGAGGAUAACAUACCUCCCUAAUCUAAAAAUAAGGACUUGGCUACUUUUCCUUUCUUUUGGGACUUUUAUCCUCUUUCUUUUCUUUUUUUAUAACCAAUCCUUUUUAUGCACUAAUAGCAAUAGGGAGUAUCAACUGAAAUAACUGGAGCUUUAUUGGAUAAGUAGAAAAAGAUAUAAUGGCAAUGAAUAUUUGGGUGUCCUCUCCUAGUGUAGGAGUAGAACAUUUUCUGAGUGGAUGAGGAAUAUGUAUAUGUGGAUGGAUGAAUGCGUACUACUAGGGUAGGAGCAGCAUAGGUGCGUGUCUCCAAGAUAGAAAUAGCAUAGAGUGUAGUGCAUAUAUGUGGUUGGUACUUCUAGGAAUAGAAGUAGCACAAGGAGAAUGUGUAGUGGAUGUAAGUGGUUGUAUACUUCUAAGGACAACAGUAGCUAAGAUCAAUGGAUGGAGAGCACAUAGUUUAACCGCAUGACUGAUUCCUUAGGAUCAACACAACAUAACUACCCUCAAUGCUUAUAGGAUGAUAUAUAUAAGUGG